rnacentral:lncRNA from 1 species
UCUGUGCCCCUUUGCUCCCAGCUGCUGUAUGUCCACAGCUGUUUGAUCACCUGGUGCCCAGUGGCCAGCAUCGUUUCUGCUCCUCCCCUACGGAACUCACAGCCAGGAUUACAGUGGCGAUCUAUGAAAUCAGAAGUGAAAGAAUGCAAAAUGGCCUUAUGUGUACUGGAAAGCUGGAG